rnacentral:rRNA from 1 species
GUGGGGAAUAUUGCACAAUGGGCGAAAGCCUGAUGCAGCAACGCCGCGUGAAGGAUGAAGGCCUUUGGGUCGUAAACUUCUGUCCUUGGGGAAGAAAAAAAUGACGGUACCCCUGGAGGAAGUCCCGGCUAACUACGUGCCAGCAGCCGCGGUAAUACGUAGGGGGCGAGCGUUAUCCGGAAUUAUUGGGCGUAAAGAGUACGUAGGUGGUUUUUUAAGCGCAGGGUUUAAGGCGAUGGCUCAACUGUCGUUCGCCCUGUGAACUGGAAGACUUGAGUACAGGAGAGGAAAGCGGAAUUCCUAGUGUAGCGGUGAAAUGCAUAGAUAUUAGGAGGAACACCAGUGGCGAAGGCGGCUUUCUGGACUGUAACUGACACUGAGGUACGAAAGCGUGGGGAGCAAACAGGAUUAGAAACCCCAGUAGUC